rnacentral:rRNA from 1 species
UACCAGCUCUCCGAGUGGUAGGGAUGAUUAUUGGGCUUAAAGCGUCCGUAGCCGGCUUAGCAAGUUUCCUGUUAAACUCUGCGACUUAAUCGUUGAAUCGCGGGAAAUACUACUAGGCUAGGAGGCGGGAGAGGUCAACGGUACUUCUGGGGUAGGGGUGAAAUCCUAUAAUCCCGGGAGGACCACCAGUGGCGAAGGCUGUUGACUAGAACGCGCUCGACGGUGAGGGACGAAAGCUGGGGGAGCGAACCGGAUUAGAUACCCGGGUAGUCCCAGCUGUAAACGAUGCGGGCUAGGUGUUGGGAUGGCUACGUGCCAUUUCAGUGCCGCAGGGAAGCCAUUAAGCCCGCCGCCUGGGGAGUACGGCCGCAAGGCUGAAACUUAAAGGAAUUGGCGGGGAGCACCACAAGGCGUGAAGCUUGCGGUUC